CUCUUGCGGCGCGUCGGGGGCACUGGCCAGGGCGGCGGUGGCGGAAGAUUGACCGACGAGGGCGGAGCCCCGACUGGGACAUCAGCAGAGAUCGGGCAGCGGGCGGCCAGACCUCGGCGGGCACCAGGUGACUUCGGUGGCGACGGGUCGGGGGCUGGCUACGGCAGAUCGCAGGGGAAGCGGACGAUCUCUGUAGGUUUAGAUUUUAUAUAAACCUUUA
rnacentral:lncRNA from 1 species